rnacentral:rRNA from 1 species
UGAGUAACCUGCCCUUCUCUUCGGAAUAAGCGUGGGAAACCGCGUCUAAUGCCGAAUACGACCUCCUUUCGCAUGAUCGGAGGUGGUAAGCUCCGGCGGAGAAGGAUGAGCUCGCGGCCUAUCAGCUAGUUGGUGUGGGUAACGGCCCACCAAGGCGACGACGGGUAGCCGGCCUGAGAGGGCGACCGGCCACACUGGGACUGAGACACGGCCCAGACUCCUACGGGAGGCAG